rnacentral:rRNA from 1 species
UGAGGAAUAUUGGUCAAUGGACGCAAGUCUGAACCAGCCAAGUAGCGUGCAGGAUGACGGCCCUAUGGGUUGUAAACUGCUUUUAUAUGGGGAUAAAGUGGGGAACGUGUUCCCUUUUGCAGGUACCAUAUGAAUAAGGACCGGCUAAUUCCGUGCCAGCAGCCGCGGUAAUACGGAAGGUUCGGGCGUUAUCCGGAUUUAUUGGGUUUAAAGGGAGCGUAGGCCGUUUGGUAAGCGUGUUGUGAAAUGUAGGAGCUCAACUUCUAGAUUGCAGCGCGAACUGUCACACUUGAGUGCGCACAACGUAGGCGGAAUUCAUGGUGUAGCGAUGAAAUGCUUAGAUAUCAUGAAGAACUCCGAUUGCGAAGGCAGCCUUCCAGUGCAUGACUGACGCUGAGGCACGAAAGCGUGGGUAUCGAACAGG